AUCCAUCUGAUGAGUCCCAAAUAGGACAAAACACGUGUCCUGGAU
rfam:Schistosoma haematobium scaffold553_42, whole genome shotgun sequence.